rnacentral:lncRNA from 1 species
GUGGCUGUUACUUUUAUCUCUUUCUAUACCCCCUUUAUGUUUACUAACCAUAGAACUCCCAAGUCAAGUGUGCUUGGGCAAAGUACUAGGAAGGAUGAUCCCCUCGGAACGGAAGUCCUCAUGUUGCAACCCACGAACUCCGUCCACGUCCUCAGCAAAUAAAGGAUGAGGUAACAACAAAAUAUAACAGGAUGAAGUGACCACAAAGUAUUCGUUUUAACACCACUAUGGAAAAUAUAUAAGUAAUAUUUUGAAUAAACUAUCAAAAGAUUCAGUGUCCGUUAUUCCGCCAACAGAAGUUACCAUCCU